AUUGAACGCUGGCGGCAGGCCUAACACAUGCAAGUCGAGCGGAUGAAGGGAGCUUGCUCCUGGAUUCAGCGGCGGACGGGUGAGUAAUGCCUAGGAAUCUGCCUGGUAGUGGGGGAUAACGUCCGGAAACGGGCGCUAAUACCGCAUACGUCCUGAGGGAGAAAGUGGGGGAUCUUCGGACCUCACGCUAUCAGAUGAGCCUAGGUCGGAUUAGCUAGUUGGUUGGGUAAAGGCCUACCAAGGCGACGAUCCGUAACUGGUCUGAGAGGAUGAUCAGUCACACUGGAACCGAGACACGGUCCAGACUCCUACGGGAGGCAGCAGUGGGGAAUAUUGGACAAUGGGCGAAAGCCUGAUCCAGCCAUGCCGCGUGUGUGAAGAAGGUCUUCGGAUUGUAAAGCACUUUAAGUUGGGAGGAAGGGCAGUAAGUUAAUACCUUGCUGUUUUGACGUUACCAACAGAAUAAGCACCGGCUAACUUCGUG
rnacentral:rRNA from 1 species